GCCCUCUGGCCUGGGACAACGGUCUGCUCACCGGCCCCGGGACAGCGUGCCACCCCAGGGAGGCCAGCCCGGGCCAGCCCACGCAGUGCCGGGUCUGCACACCUGCUGGGCGCCUCCGGCCCUCUGUCCUGCGGGCGGCCCCUGCACCACCCCUCGGGCCUCCAGGCCCUUCAACACCCUCAGGCCUCCAGGCCCUCCAGCACCCUUGGGCCUCCAGGCCCCGGCACCCUCGGGCAGGCCCCUGCAGGCUCUAUUUUUACACUUGAAGCAUUUGCCGGGAGCCUAUUUAUAUCGUUCCCAUCUUGAGUUUCCGUCAUCUCCUAACCUGGCCGAGCCUCCCUCCCUCUGGGCUCAGGUCUCUGGACCACUCCCAGGCCAAGGGCGGGGGGGUGCCCCGUGCAGGAGAAGCCCGCAGCUCACCGAGAGGCGCCCCAGGACACCGCCAAUGUUCCCGAUGCGCGAUGGAGAUGGUCCAGGGGCCCAGAGCGGGCAUGAGGGCCCAGGCCGGCUCCAGAGUGGGCAGCCCAGGCAUUUCCAGAAAAUGGGGCUCCAUUCAGGAAACGAAACAGAAGAGACACAGAAACUGACAGCUGACGUCAUAAUGCAGCUCCAAAAUAUGGGCAUCGCGUCCUCAUCUACUUGGCCAGGACUUCCUCGUUUUCCCUUUCUGGUCUCUUCCGAACUGCCACCGGAGCCCCUGGAGGUCAGGGUUCAUGCCACCUGCCCCAAGCAUGGCAUUAACUUCAAGGCACGUGCAUUCGCCUAAAAAAAAAAAAAUUAAAUAAAAAAUAAUGUAAGGCAAGGCGCCUGGGUGGCACAGUCGGUUUAAGUGAUUAAGCAAGCAUCCCACUCUUGGUUUCGGCUCAGGUCAUGAUCCCAGAGUCAUGCCCUGCAUCGGGCUCCACACUCAGUGCAGAGUCAGAGCCUGCUUGAGAUUCUUGCCCUCUCCUUCUGUCCCUCCCCCUGCUUGUGCUAACAAAAUAAAUAAAUUCCUUCUCCACUGUU